UACGAAGGGGGCUAGCGUUGCUCGGAAUUACUGGGCGUAAAGGGAGCGUAGGCGGAUAGUUUAGUCAGAGGUGAAAGCCCAGGGCUCAACCUUGGAAUUGCCUUUGAUACUGGCUAUCUUGAGUGUGGGAGAGGUGUGUGGAACUCCGAGUGUAGAGGUGAAAUUCGUAGAUAUUCGGAAGAACACCAGUGGCGAAGGCGACACACUGGCCCAAUACUGACGCUGAGGCUCGAAAGCGUGGGGAGCAAACAGG
rnacentral:rRNA from 1 species